CCUUAGCCCCGAUAACAAUGAAAAUCCUUUCUACUCCUAAACUUGUUUCAGGAUAAUGAAACAAGUUCAGGAGUAGAAAGAUUGAAAUGAAUAGCGGGAAAUAGC
rnacentral:sRNA from 1 species